UACGGAGGGUGCAAGCGUUAUCCGGAAUCACUGGGUUUACAGGGUGCGGAGGCGGCUAGAUAAGUCAGAGGUGAAAGUUUGUCGCUUAACGAUAGAACUGCCUUUGAUACUGUUAAGCUUGAAAGUAGGUGAGGUUGGCGGAAUGUGACAUGUAGCGGUGAAAUGCAUAGAUAUGUCAUAGAACACCGAUUGCGAAGGCAGUCGGCGAACCUGACUUUGACGAUGAGGCACGAAAGCGUGGGUAGCGAACAGG
rnacentral:rRNA from 1 species